UGGGUGCUAGUUGUGGGCCACAUUCCACGUGGUCCGUGACGAAGUUAACACAUUAAGCACCCCGCCUGGGGAGUACGGUCGCAAGACUAAAACUCAAAGGAAUUGACGGGGGCCCGCACAAGCGGCGGAGCAUGCGGAUUAAUUCGAUGCAACGCGAAGAACCUUACCAAGGCUUGACAUAUAGAGGAAACGUGCAGAAAUGUACGCCCCGCAAGGUCUCUAUACAGGUGGUGCAUGGUUGUCGUCAGCUCGUGUCGUGAGAUGUUGGGUUAAGUCCCGCAACGAGCGCAACCCUCGUCCUAUGUUGCCAGCACGUAAUGGUGGGAACUCAUGGGAGACUGCCGGGGUCAACUCGGAGGAAGGUGGGGAUGACGUCAAAUCAUCAUGCCCCUUAUGUCUUGGGCUUCACGAAUGCUACAAUGGCCAGUACAAAGGGCUGCAAUACCGUAAGGUGGAGCGAAUCCCAAAAAGCUGGUCUCAGUUCGGAUUGAGGUCUGCAACUCGACCUCAUGAAGUCGGAGUCGCUAGUAAUCGCAGAUCAGCAACGCUGCGGUGAAUACGUUCCCGGGCCUUGUACACACCGCCCGUCAAGUCACGAAAGUCGGUAACACCCGAAGCCGGUGGCCUAACCGUAAGGAAGGGAGCCGUCGAAGGU
rnacentral:rRNA from 1 species